rnacentral:antisense_RNA from 18 species
CUCUAUGGCGGCUGUGUGUGGGGCACCUCGUGUGCGCCGGGUUUUUUGGCUUUUUCCUGCCGGUCUGUCAACCCAUGCACAGCUGCCACCCUC